rnacentral:rRNA from 1 species
AGCCACCGCGGUUAUACGAAAGACCCUAGUUGAUAAACAUGGCGUAAAGGGUGGUUAAGGGAAAAACAACUAAAUAAAGCUAAAGGCCCUCUAGGCCGUCAUACGCACUCCGAGAGUACGAAACCCAAAUACGAAAGUGGCUUUAAACAAACUAACCUGAACCCACGAAAGCUAAGAAA